UGGGGAGCAAACAGGAUUAGAUACCCUGGUAGUCCACGCCGUAAACGAUGAGCACUAGGUGUCGGGGUCGCAAGACUUCGGUGCCGCAGUUAACGCAUUAAGUGCUCCGCCUGGGGAGUACGCACGCAAGUGUAAAACUCAAAGGAAUUGACGGGGACCCGCACAAGCAGCGGAGCAUGUGGUUUAAUUCGAAGCAACGCGAAGAACCUUACCAGGGCUUGACAUUUAGGUGAAGCGGCGGAAACGUCGUGGCCGAAAGGAGCCUAAACAGGUGGUGCAUGGCUGUCGUCAGCUCGUGUCGUGAGAUGUUAGGUUAAGUCCUGCAACGAGCGCAACCCUCGUCGUAUGUUGCCAGCGGUUAGGCCGGGCACCCAUACGAGACCGCCGGCGUCAAGCCGGAGGAAGGUGGGGACGACGUCAAGUCAUCAUGCCCCUUAUGUCCUGGGCUACACACGUGCUACAAUGGCCGGCACAAUGGGCUGCCAACCCGCGAGGGUGAGCGAAUCCCUAAAGCCGGUCCCAGUUCGGAUUGGAGGCUGCAACCCGCCUCCAUGAAGUCGGAGUUGCUAGUAAUCGCGGAUCAGCACGCCGCGGUGAAUGCGUUCCCGGGCCUUGUACACACCGCCCGUCACACCACCCGAGUCGAUUGCACCCGAAGUCGUCGGCCUAACCUUUUAGGAGGGAGACGCCGAAGGUGUGGUUGGUAAGGGGGGUGAAGUCGUAACAAGGUAGCCGUACCGGAAGGUGCGGCUG
rnacentral:rRNA from 1 species